GUUCGAAAGGAAUCAGAAAGAAAUUGCAGGAGGUGCAUUUUGGAUUCUGUUGGUCUGAUCUCUAAAUAUUUGAUCUCUGAUUCAAUUAAUUAAAUGCACUCAGUCAUACAUGUUUGUUUAAAGUGAUGUGCUUUGUUGCUGAUUCAAUGUUUAUGCAUGUGUUUUGUUGUCUUUACUUUUUCUUUCACUAUACAUGGAUCGAGGUCUCCAAAAUAAAUGGUGGAGCUGCAUGUAUAUAGACACGCAUACUAGAUGUAUAGUUGGAGCUGUAUGAUAAUCUACACAGGGGCAGGUUCAGAUGCAAGUGCAAGUGCAGGAGGCAGAGCGAUCUCAAGGUCUGCCUGGCGAUGCUGAAGCCGGCAAAGGUGGACAGGAUGAUGGUGAUUACAACUUGCAGCCACAUCUACACACCACAAAAAAUCUCAAGUCUUGUAUUUAAGAAGAUUACUAACAGGGUUGCAUACAAAACAGUCAUCAAAGCUCACAGUGAUGUUGUGUUAAAGGCUAAGAGCAUGGCUGACAAGGUUGAGUGGGCAAAUAAGACUAAAGUUGUUAUUCAAAGCAAAGGGGGUUCUUUCAAGGGUCCAAGUAUUGAGGGUGGUUCAAUGAGGCAAAUCAAUUCGGAUGGUGCUUUAGUAAGUUCUAGAUUAAUACAUAAUUGAAUUACAUUUAUAGCUUUCUUUUGCUGUUUUUCUUUACUCAACUAAAUCUUGAUUUAUUAGGGAUCAUCAUGUAAGGUCAGCUCCCCUUAUAUAGAAUGUGAUUGAAUGAUUGACUCAGAUAAGUAUGUCAACAACAACUGCUUUACAUUGGUCCCUUAAUUCGUCAGGUAAAAUAAUUUAUGUUGCCCUUCACUAAGCCAGUCUGGUCUGGUCACAGAGUUUCCAUACUUGUCUAGGAUGUGAUAAUACCGGCAAACACUGUGAUUGAAAACUCUAUAAUGUACUUCUUAUUAAACUCCAAUUGAAAACUCUAUAAUGUACAUCCAAUUGAAGUUUGGAAAUGAAUAGCAUUAAAAAACAAAUAUAUGUCUAAUAUGUAUUAAAGGAGAAGAGUUCGACUGAAAAUACCAUGGCUUUAUUGCCAAAGAAUAUUAAAACAAUCUAUUUUGAAGUCCACAACUUUGAGAUUACAUAAAAACACAUUGUGAAGUUUAAGCCUGACCUGAUAUUCAUAUUGAAUUGUAAAAGCACACGAAGACAGAAUGAUGAUGAACAUGAAGUUUAGGGCCACAGUCAUAGUUUCCAGCAUAACAGUAGUGGUACCUUUUCCCGAGCAAGAUCCGCAAGAACAAGAACAUAUUGAUUCAGAGAAUGAAGUCUUGUAAUAUAAUCAGAUGGUUUCCCUCGUCUACAAUCCACAGUGGCUCUCACUUUUUUUAUCAAUUUCAGAUUGCUCUGUAGAUCACAUUAGACACAGUUAUUUAGUGCCAGCUCGAACUUUUCUAUAUACUUCCAACAUUUCACUUUGGUAUUUUGUAGGCUACAUGGAAGUACUAUCAUUUAUGUAUGGAUUAAUGGAUACCUUUUCCUUUUUCUUUUGAAGGUGAAUAUGGACUAUGGCCUUGAUCCAACAAUAGGGAAGGCCAUAAUACAGGCAGCUGAGGAGGUCGCAGAGGGAAAGUUAGAUGAUCACUUCCCACUUGUUAUCUGGCAAACUGGCAGUGGCACACAAAGCAACAUGAAUGCCAAUGAGGUAAUUGCAAAUAGGGCAUCUGAGAUCCUUGGACACAAGGGUGGUCAGAAGUAUGUGCACCCAAAUGACCAUGUGAAUAGGUCACAAUCUUCAAAUGAUACAUUUCCCAUU